rnacentral:rRNA from 1 species
GACAGAGGGUGCAAACGUUGUUCGGAAUUACUGGGCGUAAAGCGCGUGUAGGCGGCCAACUAAGUCGGGCGUGAAAUCCCACGGCUCAACCGUGGAAGUGCACUCGAAACUGGAUGGCUAGAGUCCUGGAGAGGAAGGUGGAAUGCUUGGUGUAGAGGUGAAAUUCGUAGAUAUCAGGAGGAACACCAGUGGCGAAGGCGGCUUUCUGGACGAUAACUGACGCUGAGACGCGAAAGCGUGGG